CCACAAUAAGGUCUCCCUGGAACAUUCUCUUCUCCAAGCUUCUUCCUUCCUUCUUUCUUCCUUCCUGCAAGCUUCUUCUUCUUUCUUCUCCAAGAAUGCAAAGGGAGUUCAGAGAAGCUACCCAGGGCAUGGAAUGUUUGAGCCUGAUGGUGAAAUCAUAAUGUGAGACAAAUUUACACAAGAUGAGAAACCACACAAGAUGAGAACAUCUACGUGUUCAAAAUGCAGACUUCUAGCCUGAUACAGUGAGGAGGGAAGUCUGUAACUGAAAAUUAAUUCAUACUGGAAAGCGCAGUCAAUAGACAAUUACUAAGAUACAGCUUGUGUUUAUUGCUUGAGGAAUUUUACACAAGAUUUAUAACAUCUAAAAGCAAUUACCUUUACAUGUAAAGAACAGUCUAAAAAGAUGAAACUUAAUUAAUCUUGAAGCCUUCAAACAUUCUCUAUCUCCUAUAAAUAAUCAU
ensembl:lncRNA